UUCCUCGGAUGUCCACAGCCUUAAAAAUGUCAGUGAGCUCUGUGCCUGUAAGUCCUCUAACAAAGUAACCAGGACUUCCCACACUCAUGCCAAGAAAGAUUGUCACCAGGAUGACCUUUGUUAACAGCAAAAAGGUCACAAAGGAAAUACACAGAGGCGGGGCAUGGCUGUUGGAGGUCUAUCAUGGAGCGCCACACAGCCAUGAAGGAUUAUCCUGUGAAACACCAACUCUGUGGUUAACCACACACCCUAUUACCCAAGCAACCGGGGUCAGCACCUCUACUCAUAAGUCACCCUAACACCAUGAAUCUUGGGAUGUGACACACCAGGAAGGACAGUGUCACUUCUGUUGUUCUCAAUGGAACUGCAAGAAAAAGAGAGAUAAAUCCAAAUAGUCGAGUGUGCAGAAUAACCAACCACCCAGCGCUCUUUAAGACAAAGAUCAAGGACUCAGUGACGGGAGAAGGCCCAGGAGAAAGGAUAAGUCAAUGCGGUUUCUUGCAUGUUACUUCUGACGACCACCAAACAGAAGGCGGGGUUUCUUUGGCAAGUCCAACAAAGGGAGGGCGAUGGAGAUGGAGUGAGGGCGCCUCUCCUCCCUGUCACCAGGAGAGACACGUGGAGACUGUUAGGUAUUAACCAAGCUCUGACCUUCUGAGCCUCUACUCACUGCUAUCCCAAGUACUGGAGUCCCAUGGGAUCGUGAGGGUCAGAGAGGUAACAAGGUGGCUUGGAGGAGUAUGUGGAUAUCUCAGAACACCGGAGGCAAAAUGGCUGCAGCUUCGAGUACUGGUGAAUCCAGGAGCUCAAACGUGGAGUCAAGAUUCCCUCCCUCGCUUCCCUGCUUGUCAGCUGUGGUUGUCUCUGCUCCUCUUUGGUGACUUUUAGGAGGUAUGUGCUGGGCACCCCUCUGCACACAGCAUCGCCGUGGCUGUGGUGAGAACGCUGGUUUCUUUUAAAACCACGGAAAUAUGA
rnacentral:sRNA from 1 species